rnacentral:rRNA from 1 species
AUGCCCAGCUUGCUGGGUGGAUUAGUGGCGAACGGGUGAGUAACACGUGAGUAACCUGCCCCUGACUCUGGGAUAAGCGUUGGAAACGACGUCUAAUACUGGAUAUGAUCACUGGCCGCAUGGUCUGGUGGUGGAAAGAUUUUUUGGUUGGGGAUGGACUCGCGGCCUAUCAGCUUGUUGGUGAGGUAAUGGCUCACCAAGGCGACGACGGGUAGCCGGCCUGAGAGGGUGACCGGCCACACUGGGACUGAGACACGGCCCAGACUCCUACGGGAGGCAGCAGUGGGGAAUAUUGCACAAUGGGCGAAAGCCUGAUGCAGCAACGCCGCGUGAGGGAUGACGGCCUUCGGGUUGUAAACCUCUUUUAGUAGGGAAGAAGCGAAAGUGACGGUACCUGCAGAAAAAGCACCGGCUAACUACGUGCCAGCAGCCGCGGUAAUACGUAGGGUGCAAGCGUUGUCCGGAAUUAUUGGGCGUAAAGAGCUCGUAGGCGGUUUGUCGCGUCUGCUGUGAAAUCCCGAGGCUCAACCUCGGGCUUGCAGUGGGUACGGGCAGACUAGAGUGCGGUAGGGGAGAUUGGAAUUCCUGGUGUAGCGGUGGAAUGCGCAGAUAUCAGGAGGAACACCGAUGGCGAAGGCAGAUCUCUGGGCCGUAACUGACGCUGAGGAGCGAAAGCAUGGGGAGCGAACAGGAUUAGAUACCCUGGUAGUCCAUGCCGUAAACGUUGGGCGCUAGAUGUAGGGACCUUUCCACGGUUUCUGUGUCGUAGCUAACGCAUUAAGCGCCCCGCCUGGGGAGUACGGCCGCAAGGCUAAAACUCAAAGGAAUUGACGGGGGNCCCGCACAAGCGGNCGGAGCAUGCGGAUUAAUUCGAUGCAACGCGAAGAACCUUACCAAGGCUUGACAUACACCGGAAACGGCCAGAGAUGGUCGCCCCCUUGUGGUCGGUGUACAGGUGGUGCAUGGUUGUCGUCAGCUCGUGUCGUGAGAUGUUGGGUUAAGUCCCGCAACGAGCGCAACCCUCGUUCUAUGUUGCCAGCGGGUUAUGCCGGGGACUCAUAGGAGACUGCCGGGGUCAACUCGGAGGAAGGUGGGGAUGACGUCAAAUCAUCAUGCCCCUUAUGUCUUGGGCUUCACGCAUGCUACAAUGGCCGGUACAAAGGGCUGCGAUACCGUAAGGUGGAGCGAAUCCCAAAAAGCCGGUCUCAGUUCGGAUUGAGGUCUGCAACUCGACCUCAUGAAGUCGGAGUCGCUAGUAAUCGCAGAUCAGCAACGCUGCGGUGAAUACGUUCCCGGGCCUUGUACACACCGCCCGUCAAGUCAUGAAAGUCGGUAACACCCGAAGCCGG